rnacentral:rRNA from 1 species
UACAGAGGGUGCGAGCGUUGUUCGGAAUUAUUGGGCGUAAAGCGCGUGUAGGCGGCGAUGCAAGUCGGGUGUGAAAGCCCUCAGCUUAACUGAGGAAGUGCGCCCGAAACUGCGUUGCUUGAGUACCGGAGAGGAUGGCGGAAUUCCCCAAGUAGAGGUGAAAUUCGUAGAUAUGGGGAGGAACACCCGUGGCGAAGGCGGCUCUCUGGGACGGUACUGACGCUGAGACGCGAAAGCGUGGGGAGCGAACAGG